UGGGGAAUAUUGGGGCAAUGGGCGAAAGCCUGACCCAGCAACGCCGCGUGAAGGAAGAAGGUUUUCGGAUUGUAAACUUCUUUUAUCAGGGACGAAGAAAGUGACGGUACCUGAUGAAUAAGCCACGGCUAACUACGUGCCAGCAGCCGCGGUAAUACGUAGGUGGCAAGCGUUAUCCGGAUUUAUUGGGUUUAAAGGGUGCGCAGGCGGCGUGCCAAGUCAGCGGUCAAAGUUCCGGGCUCAACCCGGUGAUGCCGUUGAAACUGGUGUGCUUGAGUGCGUGCGAGGGAGGCGGAAUGCGUUGUGUAGCGGUGAAAUGCAUAGAUAUGACGCAGAACUCCGAUUGCGAAGGCAGCUUUCCAGCACGCCACUGACGCUGA
rnacentral:rRNA from 1 species